GCCAGACUCCUACGGGAGGCAGCAGUGGGGAAUAUUGCACAAUGGGGGAAACCCUGAUGCAGCGACGCCGCGUGAGUGAAGAAGUAUUUCGGUAUGUAAAGCUCUAUCAGCAGGGAAGAAAUAGCGACCUUUGGGUCGCCAGACGGUACCUGACUAAGAAGCCCCGGCUAACUACGUGCCAGCAGCCGCGGUAAUACGUAGGGGGCAAGCGUUAUCCGGAUUUACUGGGUGUAAAGGGAGCGUAGACGGCAGCACAAGUCUGAAGUGAAAUGCCGGGGCUUAACCCCGGAACUGCUGUGGAAACUGUGCAGCUAGAGUGCAGGAGGGGCAGGCGGAAUUCCUGGUGUAGCGGUGAAAUGCGUAGAUAUCAGGAGGAACACCGGCGGCGAAGGCGGCCUGCUGGACUGAAACUGACGUUGAGGCUCGAAAGCGUGGGGAGCAAACAGGAUUAGAUACCCGUGUAAUA
rnacentral:rRNA from 1 species